GACGUAGGAUGCAAGCGUUGUUCGGAAUUAUUGGGCGUAAAGCGUACGUAGGCGGUUCGGUAAGUGGGAGGUUAAAGACCAGAGCUCAACUCUGGGAGUGCCCCCCAAACUGUCGGACUUGAGGCUCAUAGGGGAAGGUGGAAUUCCGAGUGUAGCGGUGAAAUGCGUAGAUAUUCGGAGGAACACCGGUGGCGAAAGCGACCUUCUGGGUGAGUCCUGACGCUGAGGUACGAAAGCGUGGGGAGCAAAC
rnacentral:rRNA from 1 species